rnacentral:rRNA from 1 species
GGACGGGUGAGUAACGCGUGAGUAACCUGCCUUUCAGAGGGGGAUAACGUUUUGAAAAGAACGCUAAUACCGCAUGACAUAUUGAGGCUGCAUGGCUUUGAUAUCAAAGGAGCAAUCCGCUGAAAGAUGGACUCGCGUCCGAUUAGCCAGUUGGCGGGGUAAAGGCCCACCAAAGCGACGAUCGGUAGCCGGACUGAGAGGUUGAACGGCCACAUUGGGACUGAGACACGGCCCAGACUCCUACGGGAGGCAGCAGUGGGGGAUAUUGCACAAUGGAGGAAACUCUGAUGCAGCAACGCCGCGUGAGGGAAGAAGGUUUUCGGAUUGUAAACCUCUGUCCUUAGGGACGAUAAUGACGGUACCUAAGGAGGAAGCUCCGGCUAACUACGUGCCAGCAGCCGCGGUAAUACGUAGGGAGCAAGCGUUGUCC